ACUCAAAUGAAUUGACGGGGGCUCACACAAGCGGUGGAGGAUGUGGUUUAAUUCGAAGCAACGCGCAGAACCUUACCAGGUCUUGACAUACCGGGAUUAACUUGGUGAAAGCCAGGGGAUUGCCAGCAAUGGUGUAACCGGAACAGGUGCUGCAUGGCUGUCGUCAGCUCGUGCCGUGAGGUGUUAGGUUAAGUCCUUUAACGAGCGAAACCCCUACGUCUAGUUACCAGCGCGUCAUGGCGGGGACUCUGGACGGACUGCCGCGCAAGCAGGAGGAAGGUGGGGACGACGUCAAGUCAUCAUGGCCUUUAUGACCUGGGCCACACACGUCCUACAAUGGGUGAUACAAAGGGAAGCCAAGCCGCAAGGUGGAGCCAAUCCCCGAAAGUCACCCUCAGUUCAGAUUGUGGGCUGCAAUUCGCCCACAUGAAGCUGGAAUCGCUAGUAAUCGCGGAUCAGCCACGCCGCGGUGAAUUUGUUCCUGAGCCUUGUACACACCGCCCGU
rnacentral:rRNA from 1 species